rnacentral:rRNA from 1 species
AUUGAACGCUGGCGGCAGGCCUAACACAUGCAAGUCGAGCGGAAGAAGGGAGCUUGCUCCUGGAUUCAGCGGCGGACGGGUGAGUAAUGCCUAGGAAUCUGCCUGGUAGGGGGGGAUAACGUCCGGAAACGGGCGCUAAUACCGCAUACGUCCUGAGGGAGAAAGUGGGGGAUCUUCGGACCUCACGCUAUCAGAUGAGCCUAGGUCGGAUUAGCUAGUUGGUGGGGUAAAGGCCUACCAAGGCGACGAUCCGUAACUGGUCUGAGAGGAUGAUCAGUCACACUGGAACUGAGACACGGUCCAGACUCCUACGGGAGGCAGCAGUGGGGAAUAUUGGACAAUGGGCGAAAGCCUGAUCCAGCCAUGCCGCGUGUGUGAAGAAGGUCUUCGGAUUGUAAAGCACUUUAAGUUGGGAGGAAGGGCAGUAAGUUAAUACCUUGCUGUUUUGACGUUACCAACAGAAUAAGCACCGGCUAACUUCGUG